CGAACGGGUGAGUAAUACAUCGGAGCGUGUCCGCUCGUGGGGGACAACCAGCCGAAAGGUUGGCUAAUACCGCAUGAGUUCUACGGAAGAAAGAGGGGGACCCGCAAGGGCCUCUCGCGAGCGGAGCGGCCGAUGACUGAUUAGCCUGUUGGUGAGGUAACGGCUCACCAAAGCAACGAUCAGUAGCUGGUCUGAGAGGACGACCAGCCACACUGGGACUGAGACACGGCCCAGACUCCUACGGGAGGCAGCAG
rnacentral:rRNA from 1 species